rnacentral:lncRNA from 1 species
UUUGAAUAGACCAGAAAUCCAGAAUGAGAAGCUGAACUUUAGCUUUAUCUUUAGAACAAACCAAAGUUGGCUCAUUCUACAAGAAAGAAUUCAUCACAGACAGGCAGCCCAGUCCAGAUUCCAGAACAACUGAAACUACUGAAUAAGGAAGGAAAAGGAAUAACGUCUUGUCUUAUUUAUGGAAGAAAAGAAAUCAGAGAAUUAAAUACACAGAAUAUAAAACACAGGGAAGAAAUUGUUAUCCAUGCCUCCAUAAACCACCACCACCACCACCAUCAGCCAUCAUCACUCAACUAUGCAACUGUUCUUUGCCUGCUGGAGUUCCUGCCUUUCUUGCUCUCCUGAGAAUGAGAUGGAAAAAAGAAAAAGAAUGUAAACUGAUGAUUCUCAUUGGUGUUCAUGUUUCUGUUUAAAUUAUCUUAAAUUACUUAGACAAGACAGGUCUCUGGUCUCAGCCAGCAUUCAUUCAGCGAAUCAUCAACAAGACUCGAUCAUCUUUUUUUCUUUUUCUUUUUCUUUUCCUUUUUCCUUGUCUUCUUUUUAUGCAUUUUUAAUUCAUAAUUUCAUGUUCGUUUAUAUAAUUAAUAUCUAUGUGUUUCUACUGAUAAAUCAAAGAAGAACACAAGAAAUCAAUCGAUCACGGCAAUGAAUUGAUUAAUAAUUAAUAAUAAUAAUACCGGUUGUGAAUUGGGUCUGCUCCAUUUGGAACUCUUCGCUUGCUCACAUAGUUCAGAUACUGCGACCAUCUCCAUCGACUUCCAUUGACCAUCUUCAUUGCCAGACCUCUCCUUGGAAGAACCAGAGACUGCGGAAGUGACGGUGGAUUUGUGGACGCUGUUUCUAUGAUGCCGACGUCGGACGAAAACACUACCGUCGGGAUCAAGAAGAAGAGCAGAACUAAGAACAGAUAGCAGUGGGAUCUCAUUUCGGAUUCCAAUGACGAGGAAUUAAUGUAUGGAAAUCUCUAGUUGAU